UCCUGACUGACCGAUAGUGAACCAGUACCGUGAGGGAAAGGCGAAAAGAACCCCGGCGAGGGGAGUGAAAAAGAACCUGAAACCGUGUACGUACAAGCAGUGGGAGCACGCUUAGGCGUGUGACUGCGUACCUUUUGUAUAAUGGGUCAGCGACUUAUAUUCUGUAGCAAGGUUAACCGAAUAGGGGAGCCGAAGGGAAACCGAGUCUUAACUGGGCGUUAAGUUGCAGGGUAUAGACCCGAAACCCGGUGAUCUAGCCAUGGGCAGGUUGAAGGUUGGGUAACACUAACUGGAGGACCGAACCGACUAAUGUUGAAAAAUUAGCGGAUGACUUGUGGCUGGGGGUGAAAGGCCAAUCAAACCGGGAGAUAGCUGGUUCUCCCCGAAAGCUAUUUAGGUAGCGCCUCGUGAAUUCAUCUCCGGGGGUAGAGCACUGUUUCGGCAAGGGGGUCAUCCCGACUUACCAACCCGAUGCAAACUGCGAAUACCGGAGAAUGUUAUCACGGGAGACACACGGCGGGUGCUAACGUCCGUCGUGAAGAGGGAAACAACCCAGACCGCCAGCUAAGGUCCCAAAGUCAUGGUUAAGUGGGAAACGAUGUGGGAAGGCCCAGACAGCCAGGAUGUUGGCUUAGAAGCAGCCAUCAUUUAAAGAAAGCGUAAUAGCUC
rnacentral:rRNA from 1 species